AUUGAUAGAGGUGCGGCAGGUCAAUAGUAGCGUUGCUUUGUGUCGGCAGACGGCGGCGUGAAAGGGGCGGCCGCCGAAACGUAGUUUUUGCUGCCGCAAGGCUCCGUUGGGCGUUUGCAAAAUAUGUAGACGACUGUCACAAAUGUGGAGCGCUAUCGUU
rnacentral:ncRNA from 1 species